GAUGAAGAACGCAGCGAAAUGCGAUAGGUAAUGUGAAUUGCAGAAUUCAGUGAAUCAUCGAAUCUUUGAACGCACAUUGCGCCCCUUGGUAUUCCAUGGGGCAUGCCUGUUCGAGCGUCAUUUGUACCUUCAAGCUCUGCUUGGUGUUGGGUGUUUGUCUCGCCUCUGCGUGUAGACUCGCCUCAAAACAAUUGGCAGCCGGCGUAUUGAUUUCGGAGCGCAGUACAUCUCGCGCUUUGCACUCAUAACGACGACGUCCAAAAGUACAUUUUUACACUCUUGACCUCGGAUCAGGUAGGGAUACCCGCUGAACUUAAGCAUAUCAAUAAGCGGAGGA
rnacentral:misc_RNA from 1 species